GAUGAACGCUGGCGGCGUGCUUAAUACAUGCAAGUCGAGCGAACAGACGAGGAGCUUGCUCCUUUCACGUUAGCGGAGGACGGGUGAGUAACACGUGGAUAACCCACCUAUAAGACUGGUAAAAUCUCGGGACAGCGGCGCUAAUACCGGAUAAUCUACUGCACCGCAUGGUUCAAUAGUGAAAGACGGCUUUGCUGUCACUUCUCGCUGCUUCUGCGCCGCAUUGGCUAGUUGGUACGGUAACGGCUUAUCACGGCAACGAUGCGUAGCCGACGUGAUAGGGUGAUCGGCCGCACGGGAGCUGGGACGCGGUCCAGACGCCUGCGGGAGGCAGCAGUAGGGAAUCUGCCGCAGUAGGCGAAAACCUGACGGAGCGACGCCGCGUGAGUGAUGAAAGUCUUCGGAUCGUAAUGCUCUGUUAUUAGGGAAAAACAAAUGUGUAAGUAACUGUGCACGUCUUGACGGUACCUGAUCAGAAAGCCACGGCUAACUACGUG
rnacentral:rRNA from 1 species